CGUUAGCCUUCAAAGCUAAAAGUGUGGGUUCAAGUCCUGCCCCUCCUG
rnacentral:tRNA from 1 species